GGGUAUGUAGCUCCAUGGUAAAGAAUUCUUGCUUGGCAUGUAGGAGGCCCUGGGUUCAAUUCCCAGCACAGCCA
rfam:Heterocephalus glaber contig232741, whole genome shotgun sequence.